UAAAAUACAAGAUUCAUAUUAAUAACACAAAUGGUCCUCUGAUUAUUGAGGUAGUACUCCUUUUAGUUCUCAACUUUCAAUUCGACCAAAACACAUACCUUGACUUUUAUUUUU